AGCAGUAUGGCCUAGUGGAAAAAGCACGGGCCUGGGAGCUAGAGGACCUGAGUUCUAAGCUCAGCACUGCUA
rnacentral:tRNA from 1 species